CUUGGCCCUUCAAGGAUAUAACGCAUUAUUUUAUAAAGACGGAAUACAUUAUUUAUGGAAUUUUACAAUACCUUUUAUAAGUGUAUAUCGAGCUGAUACUGUUGAGGUAGUUUUGCAUCAAAACAACGAGUUAAAAAAGAGCUUUCUUUACAAUUUUCUACAUCCUUGGUUAGGUAUGGGUCUAUUAACAAGCUAUGACGAAAAGUGGAGGCACAGGAGGAAGCUGCUGACACCAGCAUUCCAUUUCAAUAUCUUGAAAGAUUUCCAACAUGCUUUUAACAAACAAUCAAAAAU